rnacentral:rRNA from 1 species
GAUGAACGCUGGCGGCGUGCCUAAUACAUGCAAGUCGAGCGAACGGACGAGGAGCUUGCUUCUCUGAUGUUAGCGGCGGACGGGUGAGUAACACGUGGAUAACCUACCUAUAAGACUGGGAUAACUUCGGGAAACCGGAGCUAAUACCGGAUAAUAUUUUGAACCGCAUGGUUCAAAAGUGAAAGACGGUCUUGCUGUCACUUAUAGAUGGAUCCGCGCUGCAUUAGAUAGUUGGUAAGGUAACGGCUUACCAAGGCAACGAUGCAUAGCCGACCUGAGAGGGGGAUAGGCCACACUGGAGGUUGACCGGGGUCAAGACUACUAAGGGAGGGAGCAGACGGGAACGGGACGCAAUGGGGGAAAGCAUGACGGAGCAACGCCGCGUGAGUGAUGAAGGCCCUCGGAUCGGAAAACCCUGUUAUGAGGGAAGAACAUAUGUGUAAGUAAAUGUGCACAUCUUGACGGUACCUAAUCAGAAAGCCACGGCUAACUACGUG